rnacentral:rRNA from 1 species
AGUGAACGCUGGCGGUAGGCCUAACACAUGCAAGUCGAACGGCAGCACAGUAAGAGCUUGCUCUUACGGGUGGCGAGUGGCGGACGGGUGAGGAAUACAUCGGAAUCUACUUUUUCGUGGGGGAUAACGUAGGGAAACUUACGCUAAUACCGCAUACGACCUACGGGUGAAAGCAGGGGAUCUUCGGACCUUGCGCGAUUGAAUGAGCCGAUGUCGGAUUAGCUAGUUGGCGGGGUAAAGGCCCACCAAGGCGACGAUCCGUAGCUGGUCUGAGAGGAUGGUCAGCCACACUGGAACGGAGACACGGUCCAGACUCCUACGGGAGGCAGCAGUGGGGAAUAUUGGACAAAGGGCGCAAGCCUGAUCCAGCCAUACCGCGUGGGUGAAGAAGGCCUUCGGGUUGUAAAGCCCUUUUGUUGGGAAAGAAAAGCAGCAGGUUAAUACCCCGCUGUUCUGACGGUACCCAAAGAAUAAGCACCGGCUAACUUCGUG